rnacentral:rRNA from 34 species
CGACCCCAGGUCAGGCGGGGUUACCCGCUGAAUUUAAGCA